GACAGGAGGGUGCAAACGUUUGUUCGGAAUUACUGGGCGUAAAGCGCGUGUAGGCGGUCUCGCAAGUCGGAUGUGAAAGCCCAGGGCUCAACCCUGGAAGUGCACUCGAUACUGCGAGGCUAGAGUCCCGGAGAGGAUGGUGGAACUCUCGGUGUAGAGGUGAAAUUCGUAGAUAUCGAGAAGAACACCGGUGGCGAAGGCGGCCAUCUGGACGGUGACUGACGCUGAGACGCGAAAGCGUGGGGAGCAAACAGG
rnacentral:rRNA from 1 species